GACGGAGGAUGCAAGCGUUAUCCGGAAUGAUUGGGCGUAAAGCGUCCGCAGGUGGCAGUUCAAGUCUGCUGUCAAAGACCGGGGCUUAACUUCGCAAAGGCAGUGGAAACUGAACAGCUAGAGUAUGGUAGGGGCAGAGGGAAUUCCUGGUGUAGCGGUGAAAUGCGUAGAGAUCAGGAAGAACAUCGGUGGCGAAGGCGCUCUGCUGGACCAUAACUGACACUCAGGGACGAAAGCUAGGGGAGCAAACGGG
rnacentral:rRNA from 1 species